rnacentral:rRNA from 1 species
UACGUAGGGUGCAAGCGUUAAUCGGAAUUACUGGGCGUAGAGCGUGCGCAGGCGGUUCGCUAAGACCGAUGUGAAAUCCCCGGGCUUAACCUGGGAACUGCAUUGGUGACUGGCGGGCUAGAGUAUGGCAGAGGGGGGUAGAAUUCCACGUGUAGCAGUGAAAUGCGUAGAGAUGUGGAGGAAUACCGAUGGCGAAGGCAGCCCCCUGGGCCAAUACUGACGCUCAUGCACGAAAGCGUGGGGAGCAAACAGG